rnacentral:lncRNA from 1 species
CCCCAUGCUUAAAACCCUCAAUGCGAAAAUUCCUCUUCCUUGGGUUACUCAUCUUCUUCUAUUUCAAGCAAAUACACAAACACCUACAAUGCAUAAAAAAAAAAAAAAAAAAAACAUAAUUAUCCAUUACAUAACCUAGAUUAAUUCCAUUAAAAAAAACAUCAAAUUGAAGAGAAAUGAGAGAUUAACAACAAGAAAAGCUAGAGAAGUUACCGAGAAAGCGAUUAUGAGGUUGAAAUGAAGCUUUUGAGUUGAGAGAAAAUGGCAGCAAUUUUUCUGUUUGGUUUGGUAGUGAAGAAGAACGUUGGUUUAGUUGAAUGGUUUCAGCGCGUCGUACUUAUAUGAUACGAAGUUUGGUUUUGUAUUAUGGUUUCAUUCAUUGUAUUAUUCAAAAUUAGUAAAAAAA